CCUACGGGGGGCAGCAGUGGGGAAUAUUGGGCAAUGGGCGCAAGCCUGACCCAGCAACGCCGCGUGAAGGAAGAAGGCUUUCGGGUUGUAAACUUCUUUUCUCAGGGACGAAGAAAGUGACGGUACCUGAGGAAUAAGCCACGGCUAACUACGUGCCAGCAGCCGCGGUAAUCCGUAGGUGGCAAUCGGUAUCCGGAUUUAUUGGGUGUAAAGGGCGUGUAGGCGGGAGCGCAAGUCAGAUGGGAAAACUCAGGGCCCAACCCUGAGCCUGCAUUUGAAACUGUGUUUCUUGAGUGCUGGAGAGGCAGUCGGAAUUCGGUGUGUAGCGGUGAAAUGCGUAGAUAUACGGAGGAACACCAGUGGCGAAGGCGGAUUGCUGGACAGUAACUGACGCUGAGGCGCGAAAGCGUGGGGAGCAAACAGGAUUAGAUACCCGAGUAGUC
rnacentral:rRNA from 1 species